AGAGUUUGAUCAUGGCUCAGAAUCAACGCUGGCGGCGUGCCUAACACAUGCAAGUCGAACGAGAAAGUGGAGCAAUCCAUGAGUAAAGUGGCGACCGGGUGAGUAACACGUGACUAACCUACCUCCGAGUGGGGAAUAACUCCGGGAAACCGGGGCUAAUACCGCAUAACAUCGCAAGAUCAAAGCCAGCAAUGCGCUUGGAGAGGGGGUCGCGGCUGAUUACCUAGUUGGCGGAGUAACGGCCCACCAAGGCGAAGAUCGGUAUCCGGCCUGAGAGGGCGCACGGACACACUGGAACUGAAACACGGUCCAGACUCCUACGGGAGGCAGCAGUGGGGAAUUUUGCGCAAUGGGGGAAACCCUGACGCAGCAACGCCGCGUGGAGGAUGAAGUCCCUUGGGACGUAAACUCCUUUCGACCGGGACGAUACUGACGGUACCGGAAGAAGAAGCACCGGCUAACUCUGUGCCAGCAGCCGCGGUAAUACAGAGGGUGCGAGCGUUGUUCGGAAUUAUUGGGCGUAAAGGGCGCGUAGGCGGUGCGGUAAGUCACCUGUGAAACCUCCUGGCUUAACUGGGAGCCUGCAGGCGAAACUACCCUGCUGGAGUGUGGGAGAGGUGCCUGGAAUUCCCCGGUGUAGCGGUGAAAUGCGUACAUAUCGGGGAGGAACACCUGUGGCGAAAGGCGGCCCACUGGACCAUAACUGCACGCUGGAUGUGCGCUGAUAAGCUUAGGGAGAGUCCAAACGAGGAACUUAAACUACUCCUGCGCGUAGUCCUAACCCCUCUCAAAGCUGUAUGAGUAGCUUCUGGCUGUAGGAUCGAGCGGACGCCAACUCCUGCGUGUGCUGUGCUGCGCGACGCACAUACGCCGAUACACAACUAUAUACUACGACCGCGGGGAGUACGGUCGCAUAGAGCUGAAACUCAAAGGAAUUGACGGGGGCCCGCACAAGCGGUGGAGCAUGUGGUUCAAUUCGACGCAACGCGAAGAACCUUACCUGGGCUCGAAGCGCAGUGGACUGGGGUAGAAAUAUCCCUUUCUCGCAAGAGACUGCUGCGGAGGUGCUGCAUGGCUGUCGUCAGCUCGUGUCGUGAGA
rnacentral:rRNA from 1 species